GUGGCCUUCGAAAUGUCUCUCAAACUUCAUUUUUUCCUUCUUUCACAAAACUCCUUCAAACAUUGUGCCUCACCCUAAGUCAUUCAGCUAACCCUAAGCCCUCUCUUCAUUGUGGCUCACCCUAACCCUCUCUUCAUUGUGCCUCACCCUCACCCUAAGCAGGACACCCUCACGCUCACCGUGACCCUCACCACUCCGCGAAGAACGUUGCUGCGCUCGCAAUGACUCCGUCGACAAUCUCUCUUCCGGCACCCCUAACCCUCCGCUCUGGCGGUGACUCUCUUUGGCGGUGACUCCCUCCGCUCACUUGCGGUCACAAAUUGUCUAUCCAAUGCUCCCUCCACUGCCUCCUCGAAGCCCUAACCUCCUCUCACCAUCUCCGUCGCUACCUCACCACCGCUAACCUCGAAUGUUCUCUCUUCUCCACCGACCAAUGUUUUGCCUCGGGUCACCAGCUCGCAAAGCAAGGAUUAGAGGAAGAUGUUGUCGUCGCCGAUGAGGUAGCUGAUGUUGUCACGCCGUCCAAGUCCACUGUUUGGGGACCAGGAUACGCUUAUGUUGCUGUUCCUGGAGGAAGAAUGUGCUACCUGUCAGAACUUUUUCAAUUUUAAUUCUGGACACUUGCCUAAGAAUAUCCCAUAGAGGUCGCGUUUUAAAGCUGGAAGUAUUGGACACUAUACCAGCAGGAAUGACGCGGCACAAAAUAUUAUACAACUCGAGUGAGCUGAAAAGACCAAUGUAUUAUUAGGAGCGAGAUAUUAAAGGUGUAAAUAUGGAAACGUUAAGCACUUACCCAAAUUCAUAUUAAGAAAAGAGAAUAGGCGAUUGUUUUAGUCAUAAUUAUGCAAAUGGAGAGAAUUAUGAUUUUUUAUUUGUCUUGUUUUAUAUUUAUUGAGUGACUAUAAUUGUGGAUACGAUGUGUCUUUUUUUUUUUGU